AAUCCCCUCAUGUCAUGGGAGGGACCCAGUGGGGGGUAAUUUAAUCAUGGGGGCAGUUACACUCAUGCUGUUCUCAUGAUAGUGAGUAAGUUAUCACGAGCUCUGAUGGCUUUAUAAGGGGCUUUCACCCUUUUGCUUGGCACUUCUCCUCGCUGCCAGCAUGUGAAGAAGGAUGUGUUUGCUUCCCCUUCCACCAUGAUUGUAAGUUUCCUGAGGCCUCCCCAGACAUGCUGAACUCUAUCAUUUUUUUUCUUUCUCUUUCCCUCUCCUGGCCAGACUCAUUGAUGCUCUUAACAUCCCGACCUCAUAUUCCCAAUGUCUUUUAGUUGGAAAAAAGUUGACAUUGGCUAGAAUAUAGGAUUUAGUUAUAAUAUACAUAAAGUUCUAAGUUUUGGAGAAAUUCUCACAAUAAUUAUUAUCUCAGUAUAUGUUGUCCAAAAAAAAAGAGGAGGGAGGGACAACACAAUGAGGUUAUUAACAAAGCAAAGGCUAUGUUUAUGUUUGUGUACAAAACAAGGAAAUCUAGCAAACUCAGCAUACAUUUUUUUGGAGGGAUGGGAUUUGGGGCUUGCUCAUUUUUGUAGCUGUUUUCUGAGGGGAAAUGGAGCAGUGGAUUAGCGGGUCAUCGUCUGAAACUUCUGGAGAUAUAGUGUGUAGUAAAAAGUUGACUAAUGCCCAUGGAAUGCCUGCAUGCCAAGCAGUCUUUAUUUCAGAACUUUACACAUAUCACAUCCUUAGUUCUCACAAGGAGAUAGGUAUUAUCAUCAGCCCCGGUUAACAGAAAAAAAAUGGAGGCAAAAAGAGGUUAAAUAACCUGCCUGUUAUGAAUUGAGUUGUGUCCCCUCAAAAUUCUCAUGUUGAACCCCUCACCUCCAACAUAUUUGGAGAUAAAGCCUUUAAGAAGGUAAUUAAUGUUGAAUGAGGCCAUAAGGGUACACACUAAUCCAAAAGGACUAAUGUCCAUAUGAGAUGAAGAGACACCAGGUGUGCAAGAGCACAGAGAAAAGACCCCAUGAAGACACAGUGAGAAGACAGCCUUCUUCAAGCCAGGAAGAGAGGCCUCACCAGAAACCAACUCUCCUGGCCCUAGAUCUUGGACUUUCGGCUCCCAGAACUAUGAAACAAUAAAUUUCUGUUAUUUCAGCAAAACCUGGUGUGUGGUAUUUUGCUAUAGAAGCCUAGCAGGCAAAUACACUGCCCAAGGUCAAGAGCAGUGCUGGGAAUCAAAUCCAGGUACUCAGAACCUAGAGUUUAUUCUUAAACCACUUCACAAUGCUGCCUCUGUAGAAUCUGGUCACUGGACAGAGAAUAAUUAGAUCUCUAGUUCCAACUCUAGUUCAACUCUCAUCUUCCGGCUAUGGGACCCUGAGAAUUUUGUUUAAUUUCUCUAUGCCUCCAUCUGUAAAACUGGAGAAAAAAAUCUCUACUGGUAAGGACCAAAUGAGACAACUAUAUGUAAAUUGUUAAAUCGUAAUAUAAAUGGCCCUGUAUUAUAAAGGAUAAUAGUCUCAAAACGAUUUAUCUUAACAUUGAGUCAUUUCUCAGAGGCCAGCUCACAGAAUCUCAGAGAUUUGUGGUGAGAUGUCUAAUGAAAGACCAGGUUGAAAUGGGACUGAGUUGGGGAGUGGGUAGGAAAGCAGGAUUCAGAAGUGGGAAUGUGUACCUGAAAGAAACAUAAUGCUAUAUUCUCUUUCUCAACUGUGACAUUCCACUUUAGUAUCCUUGAGAUAAAAUUCUGGUAGAAACAGUGAGACUAUUUAUUAUAGAUUCAACUUAAUUCAACGUAUUAAAUUAAAUUAAAUAACUAAGUCCUGCUGUGGCCAUGUGCUAGGUGCCAG
rnacentral:lncRNA from 1 species